CCGCCGCCUUUGAGUCCCCAGCUCACCAUGGUGCCGGGGAUUAAGCUGAGGCGCCAUAGCACUUUGCUAGCGCAUAACUGGGGCAUUGCCCUUUGCGGGCAGCCCUUUUAACUGCUAGCUACAGGC